ensembl:snRNA
GCAUUGUAAGAAAGGAAAGCAGGUUAGCCCUCUCCUUGACAAGGAUGGAAGAGGCCCUCAAGCCUGAUGACACAUAUACUGUUAAGGCAUUGCCACCUACUUCAUGGCAUCUAACCAUUUUUUUUU